UCUUUGGUCUCUCACAGUCAACGCUGCUGGGUAGCGGGGCGUGCGCGGGCUUCAGGACGCAGCCAAGCAGGGGCGUGUCGAGGAGAAGCCGGGGGUCGGUAGACACGUGAGAGGAGCACAGAUUAACGUAGUUUCAUUGUUGACCAGGACAACGUUAAGUGAGGAGUUACUGUACCCAAUAUUCCUGGGCUCCUUCUGACCAGGGGGUUUCUUGGAGCUAGCCCUUCCUGAACUCCUUCUUCUGCAUGGGAGAUGUGGGGAUUAUUGCUUGGACAGACCUGUCCCCUGGCCCCAACUCAGGCCAUGUCUGACAGGGACAAGAAAAAACAACCCAAAUAUCUCCCCUGCUUCUCUCCACUCCACCUGGGGCCACAUGGCACGGCUGCUGUUCCUCAGUCAUAGUGAAAGAUGGCCCAGAGGUAAAGAGGAGAAUUAGGUCCCUCAACUGCCCUUUCCGCACUCGGGCUGGUAAUCGCUGCAGUCAUAGGGCUUCAGGCUGCAACAGUGGUGCCUAUCCUCUAGCUUCUGUCCAACAUGCUCUGUUUCACUGGUCUCAAGGGCUGUGGUUUAAGUGCCAAAAAAUGACUGCAGACAGCAGACUCCUAGAAGGUGUAGCACAUAGUAAGCAAUAUCAUAAUUAUGUAGAAAAACACACUGUAGAUUAUAUGAAUUCUGAUGUAUAUGCUUACACAUUAGUACUGCUUUGUAUGGUGCUC